GACGAACCGUGCGAACGUUAUUCGGAAUCACUGGGCUUAAAGCGCGUGUAGGCGGGUCGGCACGUCGGGGGCUGAAAUCCCCCGGCUCAACCGGGGAAGGGGCGCCGAUACGACCGGCCUGGAGGGACGUAGGGGGGGCUGGAACUUCCGGUGGAGCGGUGAAAUGCGUUGAGAUCGGAAGGAACGCCCGUGGCGAAAGCGAGCCCCUGGACGUCUACUGACGCUGAGACGCGAAAGCCAGGGGAGCGAACGGG
rnacentral:rRNA from 1 species